rnacentral:rRNA from 1 species
UGGGGAAUAUUGGACAAUGGGCGAAAGCCUGAUCCAGCCAUGCCGCGUGUGUGAAGAAGGUCUUCGGAUUGUAAAGCACUUUAAGUUGGGAGGAAGGGCAGUAAGCGAAUACCUUGCUGUUUUGACGUUACCGACAGAAUAAGCACCGGCUAACUCUGUGCCAGCAGCCGCGGUAAUACAGAGGGUGCAAGCGUUAAUCGGAAUUACUGGGCGUAAAGCGCGCGUAGGUGGUUCGUUAAGUUGAAUGUGAAAGCCCCGGGCUCAACCUGGGAACUGCAUCCAAAACGGGCGAGCUAGAGUAGGGCAGAGGGUGGUGGAAUUUCCUGUGUAGCGGUGAAAUGCGUAGAGAUAGGGAGGAACACCAGUGGCGAAGGCGACCACCUGGGCUCAUACUGACACUGAGGUGCGAAAGCGUGGGGAGCAAACAGG